rnacentral:lncRNA from 1 species
UUUUGAAAUUUUCUGUGGGGGUGGGGUCUCCCUAUGCUGCCCAGGCUGGUCGGCUGUUCUACUUUCAACUCACCCCAGCCCAGGCCCUUCACCUCUCCCUCUCUCUCACAUUUUCCAAGCCCUCCAGGCCCUAAACCACCUGAUACUGACUGGUACAUAGACGUGGAGUCUCACGUAAACCUCUGAAAAGAAAACUGCUGUUGAUUUGGACUCUGGAUACCAUUACCCAGCUCACGCUCCUUGCUGUGACGACUCAUUUGGACUCAUACACCUGCCCAGGGCAUCCAUGUACAUAAUCCUGUGAAUCAAAGGCAGGAGAGCACCCACAUGGACACUCGGGUCUGUGGCAUCCCCACCAAAUGAUGACUCAUCACCAGCUUGAAGACCUCUGCUUUUUCUGCUCGGCAAGGAGAAACGUGGCUCGAGCCUGCUGAGAGGGCCAGGAAGCAGCAGCAAAGGAAAGAAAGAUUGGAGGACUGGGAGUAAGAGAUACAGAAACAAAUGGAAUGCGACAUGCCAGAAAUGUAUCCCCUGCUGGAGCACCAGGCUGUAGGGGGGGAGGGACGAUGGGGCAGGGGCAGAGGGGCUGAAUGGGGCGUGGAGGGGGCAGGCCCUCGGCCUCUUUGCACCGGGCAGAGUGACGAGCUUCGCCGGUGUCUUCAUUGAAGUCCUGUUGGUCCCUACCGGCACAUCACACACUCCUGGAAGCAUGAUCUUCACUCCCUUCCUUCCACCUGCUGACCUGGGGAGGAUACCGGGCACUCGGAAUCUGAGACCACCGGAGCCACAGACACAGGCGUGAACGGUGACCGAGCCCCCUCUGAUGCUCCAUGCCCCUGCUCGCCCCAGUGUCCCGGUCACCGGGCCUGAAAUAAAUGCUGGCACGCUUGACUGUU